rnacentral:rRNA from 1 species
UACGUAGGGACCAAGCGUUGUUCGGAUUUACUGGGCGUAAAGGGCGCGUAGGCGGCCUAUUAAGUCGGCCGUGAAAUCCCUCGGCUCAACCGGGGAACUGCGUCCGAUACUGGCAGGCUUGAAUCCGGGAGAGGGAUGUGGAAUUCCAGGUGUAGCGGUGAAAUGCGUAGAUAUCUGGAGGAACACCGGUGGCGAAGGCGGCAUCCUGGACCGGUAUUGACGCUGAGGCGCGAAAGCUAGGGGAGCAAACGGG